rnacentral:lncRNA from 1 species
UCAGGGAGGCUGUGCAUGUGCAGGGGUUGUGUGGGAACGCUACGUGCUUUCUGCUCAGUUUUGCUGUGAACCUAAAACUGCUCUAAAAAAUAGCCUUUAAAAAAAAAAUACAGUAAACUCAAAGAAUUUAUACAGUUGGUAAGUCCAUGGGUUGGUAUCUGAGAGGAUUAUCUCUGAAUUCUCUGAAAUUGUGAGAAACAUGGUGUGUAUAUGGUAUUUUUCUGAGCAUGGCUGUAGCUUUCAUCAGAAUCUCAAAGGAAGCCCCUGUCCCAGGCUGUGGGACCUGGGGUGCAAGUGCAAGAGCAACAGCCACUCACCCCAAACCCCAAGGUUCCUGCAGACAGCAGAGAUGGUGAAGCCCUCCACCCCAUCCCCCAGCCACGAGUCCAGCAGCUCAUCGGGCUCCGAUGAAGGCACCGAGUACUACCCCCACCUAGUCUUCUUGCAGAACAAAGCUCGCCGAGAGGACUUCUGUCCUCGGAAGCUGCGGCAGAUGCACCUGAUGAUUGACCAGCUCAUGGCCCACUCCCACCUGCGUUACAAGGGAACUCUGUCCAUGUUACAAUGCAAUGUC